GGGCGAAUAGCUCAGUUGGGAGAGCACCUGCCUUACAAGCAGGGGGUCACAGGUUCAAGUCCUGUUUCGCCCA
rfam:Orenia sp. Z6 2524618310, whole genome shotgun sequence.